GUCUACAGCCAUGCCACCCUGAACAUGCCCAAACUCGUCUGAUCUCGGAAGCUAAGCAAGAUUGGGCCUGGUUAGUGUUUGGACAGGAGACCACCUAGGAAGAUCAGAUGCUAUAGGUG
rnacentral:rRNA from 1 species